AUUGAACGCUGGCGGCAUGCCUUACACAUGCAAGUCGAACGGCAGCACGGGAGCAAUCCUGGUGGCGAGUGGCGAACGGGUGAGUAAUAUAUCGGAACGUGCCCAGUCGUGGGGGAUAACGUAGCGAAAGCUACGCUAAUACCGCAUACGAUCUAUGGAUGAAAGCGGGGGAUCGCAAGACCUCGCGCGAUUGGAGCGGCCGAUAUCAGAUUAGGUAGGUGGUGAGGUAAAGGCUCACCAAGCCGACGAUCUGUAGCUGGUCUGAGAGGACGACCAGCCACACUGGGACUGAGACACGGCCCAGACUCCUACGGGGGGCAGCAGUGGGGAAUUUUGGACAAUGGGCGCAAGCCUGAUCCAGCAAUGCCGCGUGCAGGAUGAAGGCCUUCGGGUUGUAAACUGCUUUUGUACGGAGCGAAAAGGCUUCCACUAAUACUGGGGGCUCAUGACGGUACCGUAAGAAUAAGCACCGGCUAACUACGUGCCAGCAGCCGCAGUAACAC
rnacentral:rRNA from 1 species